GAUGAACGCUGGCGGCGUGCCUAAUACAUGCAAGUCGAGCGAACAGACGAGGAGCUUGCUCCUCUGACGUUAGCGGCGGACGGGUGAGUAACACGUGGAUAACCUACCUAUAAGACUGGGAUAACUUCGGGAAACCGGAGCUAAUACCGGAUAAUAUAUUGAACCGCAUGGUUCAAUAGUGAAAGACGGUUUUGCUGUCACUUAUAGAUGGAUCCGCGCCGCAUUAGCUAGUUGGUAAGGUAACGGCUUACCAAGGCGACGAUGCGUAGCCGACCUGAGAGGGUGAUCGGCCACACUGGAACUGAGACACGGUCCAGACGCCUACGGGAGGCAGCAGUAGGGAAUCUUCCGCAAUGGGCGAAAGCCUGACGGAGCAACGCCGCGUGAGUGAUGAAGGUCUUCGGAUCGUAAAACUCUGUUAUUAGGGAAGAACAAAUGUGUAAGUAACUAUGCACGUCUUGACGGUACCUAAUCAGAAAGCCACGGCUAACUACGUG
rnacentral:rRNA from 1 species